CACACACUUACAGACGCAUACACACUAGCUAACAGACACACACAUUUACUGACAGAGACACAGUCAGCGACAGACAUACAUACACACUCACUUACAAAACGUACACUCUCAUUGACAAACACACACUCACUAACAGACAUCAAACAGACUCACUAACACACACACUCAGUAAGACACACACAGUAACAAACUCACUGACACUCACU